AAGGGCAGAACCGCGCCUAGAGUGCCAUGCAUGUCUAAGUACAAGCCGUGUUUACACGGCGAGACCGCGGACGGCUCAUUAAAUCAGUCGUGGUCCAUAUGGGCUAGAGUUAAUCCUACUUGGAUAACUGUGGUAAUUCCAGAGCUAAUACAUGCAACUCUUAUCCUGAUGUAGCGCGGCUUAUCUCACGGUUUGUCGUAGCGCAGACGGAUGCUUUUAUUAGACCAAACCGCUGGGUGCGUGUUCGUGUUAAUUCGCGGAUGCGUACCGCUCGUUCAAUGGUGACUCUGGAUAACCUUUUUGACAAGCGCACGUACUCCUCGUGGGACGGCGCUGCCACUUUCGAGUGUCUGCCUUAUCAGCUAUCAACCGUUCGUUAUGUGCGCACGAUGGCUUUGACGGGUAACGGGGAAUCAGAGUUCGAUUCCGGAGAGGCAGCCUGAGAGACGGCUACCACGUCCAAGGACGGCAGCAGGCACGCAAAUUACCCAAUCCCAGCACCUGGGGGAGGUAGUGACGAAAUCUAACGAUGCGGGCGCCCUUUCUGGGGCCCCGCAAUCGGAAUGGCCACUUUCUAAACAACCUGUUGAGAACCUACUGAAGGGCAAGUCUGGUGCCAGCAGCCGCGGUAAUUCCAGCUUCAGUAGCAUCUAUUAAAGUUGCUGCGGUUAAAAGGCUCGCAGUUGAAUGUCAGUAUCGAGCGCAGGUCAGGUGGACGCUGGGGCGUGAACAUCCAAGGCGUUUCGCUUGUGUCGAUUGCGGAUGUGCCCGUGUGCGCAUGCGUGUGUGAGAUUUUGUUCGUACGAAAGUGCGUUCAUAUUUUGCGCGCGUGUGUUGUGUGCGUGUAUGUUUCUUUCGGCUUUGAGUUGUGUCGUUCACAUGUCCCCGUCCGUAACAAGCCUCCUCGCUUGUGUACAUAACGGAAUCUGUAUUACGGAGUGUGCGUUGCGAGGAGUUGUAGCACUGCGUUUGCUGCGUAUUUCUCUCCUUUCCGUGAUGGGUGUUCGUGUAUAUUAUGUUCGUGUUCGCGCACGGAUGUCUUUGCGCGGAUUCUUUUUUGCGGUUGUUGGGUUUGCGUGUUGUGAGCGUACGUUGUCUCUCUCUUUUGCGCGUACGUUAAGCUCCAUCGGUUCUAUGGUCACCCUGAGUAAAUCAGAGUGCUCAGAGCAGUCGUAGGGGCCUUGUGCCCUUUGAACAGUCUAGCGGACUGACUUGGUUUUGCAUGGUAUGUCGAAAGACGACGUCUAGCGCUGGCUCAGAGUUUUUGUUUAUAUGAUAUCAGUGGUACAAGCCAGCAUAGACGUAAUGAUUAAAAGGGACAGUCGAGGGCACUGGUAUUGCGAGGCGAGAGGUGAAAUUCUAUGACCCCCGCAAGACCUCCUGAAGCGAAAGCGUCUGCCAAGGAUGUUUUCAUUAAUCAUGAACGAAAGUUAGAGGAUCGAAGGCGAUCAGAUACCGCCCUAGUUCUAACCCUAAACGAUGCCAACCACCAAUCCGCGUGUAGCACCUUUCUUAACGGGCUCGGCGGGCAGCUCCUUACUUACGGGAAACCAGAGUCUCUGGGUUCCGGGGGGAGUCUGGUUGCAAAGCUGAAACUUAAAGGAAUUGACGGAAAGGCACCACCAGGCGUGGAGCCUGCGGCUUAAUUUGACUCAACACGGGCCAUCUCACCAGGCGAGUGGUGCGCCGCGUGCGCUUGUGUGUUGGCGUGUGUGUGUGUGUCUUACGCUUCUCUCUCGUUUUUCUUUCGGCGUGCGUUGGGCCUUGGAUUGCACACUCCAAGUCCGCCGCUUAUGCUUAAAACUCUUCUUAGAGGGAUUCACGGUUCUGAAGCCGUAAGAGACUGAGAGCAAUAACAGGUCUGUGAUGCCCUUAGAUGUUCUGGGCCGCACGCGCGCUACAAUGCCGGGCACAGUAGGUACUUUUCCUACUCCGACAGGAGCGGGUAACCCUAUGAAAGCCCUAUGUCUUACAGUUUAACGGGUGUCGAGUUCGUCUCGAUGCUCUUCUGGCGUGAUUGGGCCUGGGUCUUGCAAUUUUUUCCCACUAACGAGGAAUGCCUUGUAGCGGCGGGUCACUGAGCCCGCCGUGACUCAGUCCCUGCCCUUUGUACACACCGCCCGUCGCUACUACCGAUUGGGUGUACCAGUGAGAGCCUUGGACUGGCGUCCGCUGUUUCCUUUACUGUGUAAACAAGC
rnacentral:rRNA from 1 species